rnacentral:rRNA from 1 species
UGCCAGCCGCCGCGGUAAUACGGAGGGGGUUAGCGUUGUUCGGAAUUACUGGGCGUAAAGCGCGCGUAGGCGGACUAUUAAGUCAGGGGUGUAAUCCCGGGGCUCAACCCCGGAACUGCCUUUGAUACUGGUGGUCUUGAGUUCGAGAGAGGUGAGUGGAAUUCCGAGUGUAGAGGUGAAAUUCGUAGAUAUUCGGAGGAACACCAGUGGCGAAGGCGGCUCACUGGCUCGAUACUGACGCUGAGGUGCGAAAGCGUGGGGAGCAAACAGGAUUAGAUACCCCUGUAGUCC